AGGGCAGGUAUAUGUAAAAUAGGUGAAGGGUUGGGAUCAAUCGGAGGAAAGCACACCAAAUGGGAAGACAGGUUCUCAAUUCAGUAUGAGGAUUUAGCCGGGACUGUCUUCAGCUUUAAGGUUGGGUUUCACCAGGUACCCACCCCUAUCUGCCUGGGCAUUUGACUGCCUCCUGCCACUAUCAUUACCUGACCGGGUUUCCACAACCCACCAUCCACAGUGAGGAAGGGCAGGGCUCCUGAAAAUGAGCCAGCAAUUCUCCUUCAGGUGGAUGGAGAUACAAGUCUUACCAGUACAGUCUCAUGCACAAUCACACACACAAUGUCUCCACUUUGGUAUCUAGCAAUGGCUGAAAAAGCCACAGCACUGUGUGUGUCCUCUGGUGUCUGAUGAAGUAUGACUCCUGGCUAAAGGCUGUACCACAUUCCCUGUACACAUAAAGUUUCUAUCCUGAGUGUGUCCUCUGAUGUCUGAUAAGGUUGGACUUCCGACUAAAGCCCCGUCCACAUUUUCUGCAAAUAUAAGGCUUCUCUCCUGAAUGUGUCCUCUGGUGUCUAAUGAGGUGCGACUGCCGGCUAAAGCCUUGCCCACACUCCCUGCACACAUGAGGCUUCCCCCCUGCGUGUGCUCUCUGGUGUUUAAUGAGAGUUAACUUAGCACAAAAGCCUUGCCCACACUCCCUGCACACAAAGGCACCUGAGUGUGCCCUCUUGUGCCUAAACAGGUUAGGCUUCUGCCGAAACCUUCUGCCACACUCCCUGCACAUAAAAGGCUUUUCCCCUGAAUGUGUCCUCUGGUGUGAAAUGAGGGUGGACUUAUCAUUAAAGCCUCGUCCACACUCAGCACAUACAAAUGGCUUCUCCCCUGAGUGUGUCCUCCGGUGCGUGAUGAGGGUUGAUUUCCGGGUAAAGCCUCGCCCACACUCCGUACAUACAAAUGGCUUCUCCCCUGAAAAAGAUAUGCAAAUGGUUAAUAAACAAUGAAAAGGGCCAGGCAUGGUGGCUUAUGCCUGUAAUNNNNNNNNNNGCUCAUCUUGAACUCCUGACCUCAGGUGAUCUACCCACCUCGGCCUCCCAAAGUGCUGGGAUUACAGGUGUGAACCACCGCACCCACUGGCCAACAUGGUGAAACCCCGUCCCUACUAAAAAUACAAAAACCAGCCAGGCAUGGUGGCACACGCCUGUAGUCCCGGCUAUUCAGGAGGCUGAGACAGCAGAAUCGCUUGAAUCUGGGAGGCAGAGGUUGCUGUGAGCCGAGAUCAUGCCACUGCACUCCUGGCUGGGUGACAGAGCAAGACUCCAUCUCAAUAAAAAAAAUAAAAAAAGCAAGGAGGUAGGCCACAGAU
rnacentral:lncRNA from 1 species